GUGAAGCCCUAGUACAGAUCUGUGAAAAAAUGUGAGACGUCUCCAUGACCCAUUGCCUGCAGCUCUCUGCUCUGCUGACAGCCUCAGGGAGCAGCAUGUCUGGCUGGGUUGCAUGGGAAGAUGUACAUCUCCAGGCUGCUCUCUGCAAACAACUUCUGUGAUGAAUUUAUACCCUCCAUGCUUGUUGCUUACCAGAAAUUCUUGUAAGAAUACACCAGACAUGAAGAGAGGCAGAGAAGCAGCCACAGCUGGAACCUGGCCAGCCCAGCUGGCAUGGUGGUGUGUGUGAAGCCCCUGGAGCCUGUCCAGGGACAGGAUGAUGGGGGGAGCUGCUGGCAGCACGACCUGCUUUCCUUCUCCCACACAUGACAAUAGCCAGGUCAUGGUAAAAGGGGGAGCCAGACUUGGACCAAAACCAGUGGGCUGUACUCAUGAGAACUACUGCUCCACUGAACAGCUGGAGAUCACUGAUGUUUAUCUCUGUGGGAACUGUGGCAGUUUCCACUUUGCCCUCAUGUUGCUACACUGUUUGCAAGAAAGAGCAGCCCUUUCUGAAGAUAAACCAGAUAAAAGAGCAACGGAACCAGAAAAGCUAUACUAUAAUUCAAAAGGCUUUAACCUGUUUAUGUAUUACACCACACCUUCCCUGUAAAUACGUGUUGUCAUAAUGGCAGCAGUGGUACUUCUUUUUGUCGAUAAUCUACUGAGAAGUCCCUCGGUGUGACAUGUGCUCAGGUAAAUUGUGCUGAUUAGCUCUUCAAGAAGGGCUAAUGAAAAUCACAUUAGCACUAUUUAACAAAAAGGUAAAUAAGGAAAUCUUUUGGAAGUGGGUAAAUAUUUGGCAUCAGUCAUGUGUUUCUGUGAACAAACCUUUUUAGAGUGACUGCUGAUGCCAUUGUCUAUAAAGAGCCAUGCAUGCAGGUUAGGAGUGAAAACUGAGGUUGCUAAAAUGUGUAACAUAAAUAUUUUGUUUUACAACUGAUGAACUUGCAGUAAUCACACUUUCAUAAUUAAUAAAAAGGAAUUAUGUCACUUUCAGGGCUAUGAGUAUAGAGCAGAAAAUUUAGCAGACACCUAGUUUCUAAUCUAAAAGCUUCAUCAGGUAUUUCCAUUAGUUUCCAUUACCACUGUAACUUGACUAAAAAAAAGAAGUGGUGGGGCUAAGGGAUUAAAUGAUCCAAGUUUUCUGGAAUACAGAUAUACAGCCAAUUAAUAUAACAGUUUGUCCCAGACUGAGACAUUUUGUAAUCUGCUGGUUUUCACUGGUAUCAUGAUAACAGCAGGGUACACAAGCGUUCCUUUGAAAACGUGAGCCGUUCUCUAUCUUUCUAGAUAACUGAAGGCUAAGCCUGCAAGGAUUUUUAGAAUAACUCCAUGGAGGAAGUUUCUAGGGAAAGAACUCAUUGUACCCAGAGAUGGCUCUUGCUAUGCCUGUAGGAGUACGUCCUGCAGGCAGCUUCCCAGCAAGAAAGAGUUAGAAAUGUGUGGAGACAUCAGGUUAGAAUGAAGGUCAAGCAACUUUGAAACAG